AAUUAGGAGUUUAUUAUUGUGUCAAAACUAGUGAACCACGAAAAUUCAGCAACGGCACCAGAAUCUACAUCACUGACUCAGUCCACAGGAAUCAGACAGAAUCACAACAGGAGACACCAUGGAGAAACCUGACCAUCAUCACAUCUGUCCUGCUGAAUGUGCUUCUGAUCGUUGCAUUAAUAGGUUUGGUGAAGAGCUACACUGAUGUUCCUGGAAGAUCUAAAAAUCACACUGCAGCUCAAAACUCAAAUAAUCCAAAUGUAAAAUACGUCUCAAAUAAAUGUUAUAUUAUUUUUACCUGACCUAGUGAUUAUUGCAGUAAAUCCUUUCAACCUCAAAUAACAUGAUCAAGAUUCAUUAUCUGAAUGAUCUGAAAAAUGUAAGAUGUUACACGACUCUGUGAAACACUUGACUGAGACAGACAAUAUUUUAAAAUGUGAUUCAAUCCUGUCAUGCUUGAAAAAUAACCCCCUUCAUCCCUUGUGAGAAUUUAUUUGCAAUAAUGAUUGGCUGACUGUACAUCGUGUCUUACAUACUGUAUAUGGCCACUGAUAUAUAAUGUCUUUCUCUUUCAGUGUGCUGAAAUAGAUUUUUUCAUGUAUCCUGGUAACACCAUGCAUUGCCGAGAGCAGAGCACUGUUGUCCUUUACAGCCAAUGAAAUUUUCUGUUGUUUUACAGUUUUAUGUUUUAUUAUUUGUCAUACCACUGGAAAUCAAGGACACAAACAUCAAUAAAAGCUCUCAAGAGGUU